CACGUAGGGUGCGAGCGUUGUCCGGAAUUAUUGGGCGUAAAGAGCUCGUAGGCGGUGUGUCGCGUCGGCCGUGAAAACCUGCAGCUUAACUGUGGGCUUGCGGUCGAUACGGGCAUCACUGGAGUUCGGCAGGGGAGACUGGAAUUCCUGGUGUAGCGGUGAAAUGCGCAGAUAUCGGGAAGAACACCCGUGGCGAAGGCGGCACUCUGGGACGGUACUGACGCUGAGGAGCGAAAGCGUGGGGAGCAAACAGG
rnacentral:rRNA from 1 species